rnacentral:rRNA from 1 species
ACGAAGGGUGCAAGCGUUAAUCGGAAUUACUGGGCGUAAAGCGUGCGUAGGCGGUUUCUUAAGUCUGCUGUGAAAGCCCCGGGCUUAACCCGGGAAGUGCAUUGGAAACUGGGGGGCUUGAGUACUGGAGAGGAUGGUGGAAUUCCCGGUGUAGAGGUGAAAUGCGUAGAGAUCGGGAGGAAUAUCAGUGGCGAAGGCGCCCAUCUGGACGGUAACUGACGCUGAGGCGCGAAAGCGUGGGGAGCAAACAG